rnacentral:rRNA from 1 species
AAAAAAGGUAAGCUACUAAGAGCGAAUGGUGGAUGCCUUGACUGGUAAAGGCGAUGAAGGACGUACUAGACUGCGAUAAGCUACGGGGAGCUGUCAAGAAGCUUUGAUCCGUAGAUUUCCGAAUGGGGCAACCCAAUGUAUAGAGAUAUACAUUACCUAUAUAGGAGCGAACGAGGGGAAUUGAAACAUCUUAGUACCCUCAGGAAAAGAAAUCAAUAGAGAUUGCGUCAGUAGCGGCGAGCGAAAGCGUAAGAGGGCAAACCCAGUGCUUGCACUGGGGGUUGUAGGACUGCAAUGUGCAAGAGGUGAGUUUAGCAGAACAUUCUGGAAAGUAUAGCCAUAGAGGGUGAUAGUCCCGUAUGCGAAAAACAAACCUUAGCUAGCAGUAUCCUGAGUAGGGCGGGACACGAGAAAUCCUGUCUGAAGCUGGGUCGACCACGAUCCAACCCUAAAUACUAAUACCAGAUCGAUAGUGCACAAGUACCGUGAGGGAAAGGUGAAAAGAACUGAGGUGAUCAGAGUGAAAUAGAACCUGAAACCAUUUGCUUACAAUCAUUCAGAGCACUAUGUAGCAAUACAGUGUGAUGGACUGCCUUUUGCAUAAUGAGCCUGCGAGUUGUGGUGUCUGGCAAGGUUAAGCAAACGCGAAGCCGUAGCGAAAGCGAGUCUGAAUAGGGCGCUUAGUCAGAUGCUGCAGACCCGAAACGAAGUGAUCUAUCCAUGAGCAAGUUGAAGCUAGUGUAAGAACUAGUGGAGGACUGAACCCAUAGGCGUUGAAAAGCCCCGGGAUGACUUGUGGAUAGGGGUGAAAGGCCAAUCAAACUUCGUGAUAGCUGGUUCUCUCCGAAAUAUAUUUAGGUAUAGCGUUGUGUCGUAAUAUAAGGGGGUAGAGCACUGAAUGGGCUAGGGCAUACACCAAUGUACCAAACCCUAUCAAACUCCGAAUACCUUAUAUGUAAUCACAGCAGUCAGGCGGCGAGUGAUAAAAUCCGUCGUCAAGAGGGAAACAACCCAGACUACCAGCUAAGGUCCCUAAAUCUUACUUAAGUGGAAAACGAUGUGAAGUUACUUAAACAACCAGGAGGUUGGCUUAGAAGCAGCCAUCCUUUAAAGAAAGCGUAAUAGCUCACUGGUCUAGUGAUUUUGCGCGGAAAAUAUAACGGGGCUAAAGUAAGUACCGAAGCUGUAGACUUGAUUUUAUCAAGUGGUAGGAGAGCGUUCUAUUUGCGUCGAAGGUAUACCGGUAAGGAGUGCUGGAGCGAAUAGAAGUGAGCAUGCAGGCAUGAGUAGCGAUAAUUAAUGUGAGAAUCAUUAACGCCGUAAACCCAAGGUUUCCUACGCGAUGCUCGUCAUCGUAGGGUUAGUCGGGUCCUAAGUCGAGUCCGAAAGGGGUAGACGAUGGCAAAUUGGUUAAUAUUCCAAUACCAACAUUAGUGUGCGAUGGAAGGACGCUUAGGGCUAAGGGGGCUAGCGGAUGGAAGUGCUAGUCUAAGGUCGUAGGAGGUUAUACAGGCAAAUCCGUAUAACAAUACUCCGAGAACUGAAAGGCUUUUUGAAGUCUUCGGAUGGAUAGAAGAACCCCUGAUGCCGUCGAGCCAAGAAAAGUUUCUAAGUUUAGCUAAUGUUGCCCGUACCGUAAACCGACACAGGUGGGUGGGAUGAGUAUUCUAAGGCGCGUGGAAGAACUCUCUUUAAGGAACUCUGCAAAAUAGCACCGUAUCUUCGGUAUAAGGUGUGGUUAGCUUUGUAUUAGGAUUUACUCCGAAAGCGAAGAAACUUACAACAAAGAGUCCCUCCCGACUGUUUACCAAAAACACAGCACUCUGCUAACUCGUAAGAGGAUGUAUAGGGUGUGACGCCUGCCCGGUGCUCGAAGGUUAAUUGAUGGGGUUAGCAUUAGCGAAGCUCUUGAUCGAAGCCCGAGUAAACGGCGGCCGUAACUAUAACGGUCCUAAGGUAGCGAAAUUCCUUGUCGGUUAAAUACCGACCUGCAUGAAUGGCGUAACGAGAUGGGAGCUGUCUCAAAGAGGGAUCCAGUGAAAUUGUAGUGGAGGUGAAAAUUCCUCCUACCCGCGGCAAGACGGAAAGACCCCGUGGACCUUUACUACAGCUUGACACUGCUAUUUGGAUAAGAAUGUGCAGGAUAGGUGGGAGGCUUUGAGUAUAUGACGCCAGUUGUAUAUGAGCCAUUGUUGAGAUACCACUCUUUCUUAUUUGGGUAGCUAACCAGCUUGAGUUAUCCUCAAGUGGGACAAUGUCUGGUGGGUAGUUUGACUGGGGCGGUCGCCUCCCAAAUAAUAACGGAGGCUUACAAAGGUUGGCUCAGAACGGUUGGAAAUCGUUCGUAGAGUAUAAAGGUAUAAGCCAGCUUAACUGCAAGACAUACAAGUCAAGCAGAGACGAAAGUCGGUCUUAGUGAUCCGGUGGUUCUGUGUGGAAGGGCCAUCGCUCAAAGGAUAAAAGGUACCCCGGGGAUAACAGGCUGAUCUCCCCCAAGAGCUCACAUCGACGGGGAGGUUUGGCACCUCGAUGUCGGCUCAUCGCAUCCUGGGGCUGGAGCAGGUCCCAAGGGUAUGGCUGUUCGCCAUUUAAAGCGGUACGCGAGCUGGGUUCAGAACGUCGUGAGACAGUUCGGUCCCUAUCUGCCGUGGGCGUAAGAAGAUUGAAGAGAUUUGACCCUAGUACGAGAGGACCGGGUUGAACAAACCACUGGUGUAGCUGUUGUUCUGCCAAGAGCAUCGCAGCGUAGCUAAGUUUGGAAAGGAUAAACGCUGAAAGCAUCUAAGCGUGAAGCCAACUCUAAGAUGAAUCUUCUCUAAGCUCUCUAGAAGACUACUAGUUUGAUAGGCUGGGUGUGUAAUGGAUGAAAGUCCUUUAGCUGACCAGUACUAAUAGAGCGUUUGGCUUAUCUUUAAUAAAGCAU